UACGUAGGGUGCAAGCGUUAAUCGGAAUUACUGGGCGUAAAGCGUGCGCAGGCGGUUUGGAAAGAAAGAUGUGAAAUCCCAGAGCUUAACUUUGGAACUGCAUUUUUAACUGCCAAGCUAGAGUAUGUCAGAGGGGGGUAGAAUUCCACGUGUAGCAGUGAAAUGCGUAGAGAUGUGGAGGAAUACCGAUGGCUAGGGCAGCCCCCUGGGAUAAUACUGACGCCCAUGCACGAAAGCGUGGGGAGCAAACAGG
rnacentral:rRNA from 1 species